CAUUGCCUACGGGGGGCAGCAGUGAGGAAUAUUGGUCAAUGGGCGGAAGCCUGAACCAGCCACGUCGCGUGAGGGAAUAAGGCCCUACGGGUCGUAAACCUCUUUUGCCGGGGAGCAAGGGCCGGGACGAGUCCCGGUCCGGAGAGUACCCGGAGAAAAAGCAUCGGCUAACUCCGUGCCAGCAGCCGCGGUAAUACGGAGGAUGCGAGCGUUAUCCGGAUUUAUUGGGUUUAAAGGGUGCGUAGGCGGGCUUUUAAGUCAGCGGGAAAAAUUCGGGGCUCAACCCCGUCCGGCCGUGGAAACUG
rnacentral:rRNA from 1 species